UCCCAGUUAGUACAAUGGUUAGUAUAGGGCACUCUCAAAGAUUGUAAACGGUUGUAUCAACCGGGACUUGAUCGUUCUGCUCAGAUCAGGGUUCGAUUCCCUGGCCGGGAA
rnacentral:tRNA from 1 species